rnacentral:lncRNA from 1 species
UUUUGACAUCUGUUUUGUGCUUCCAAGUGGAAAAGUGCUGGGAAUGGGAGGAGCCGUGUACGGAGGCUAGGUCAGAUCCAAAGGUCAGUGAGUGGUUCAGGAUUAAAUGAGUCACAGGGCACUAGAUGGGGAAAACCUAGGGCUUUAGCUCCCCGGUGCAAUUCCCCUCCAUUCUCACUAUAGCAAGCAGUUCUCAGAAAGAGAAAGGAGGCCCCAAGCAGCUGCUGGGGGCUUGAGAGGAUUGGAGGGUGGGGGCGUUCCCACCUGUAGUUCAGGAGGGGCAGUCAGAGGCUGCAGUUUUUCAUUGUUGCCUGGUGCCCAACACCUCUUCCGCAAUGCUGGGGGAUUUCCAUGUCUUGUUAGCAUUAUGACCAGUAGUGUGAGCCUUGCUUUCCCAGGGAAUAUAGGAUCUAAUACAUGCAUUCACUUAUGCAGCAAUAUCACUUAAAAGUUUUCUAAUACUUACGAACACCUAAAGGAGACACUCUUUUAGUCCCUGAAUUAAUGGAAAUCCCUCUGACUCACCUCUUCCUCAGCAUAAAAAAGAAAACAAUUAGGUAGCCUCUCACACAAACAGGUCAUGACAGAUAGUUUAGUCAUAGACAGCCGGAGUCGUAAAGACUUAGGCUAGUGAGCUUGUCUCAUAUAAAUUUGUAGGAAUUUUUUGCAAGAUAGUAAAUUUUCUCUAGGAAAUGUAAUUAGACACAUAGUCUCAUUUGAACCCUUUCAAGGAAGGCUUUGCACAAAGCACAUUUACUCUCCUGUGAGGCAGGCUGAGUCUCCCGCGUCUUCAGUCAAUGUGCCUGGGAAAAUGAGACUCGGUAAUAAAAAAUCUGUUUAUUCUGGGCAGUGCCCUGUGACCAUGACCAGAUUUGGGGAUGUCUGUGGCUGUGAAGCACAGGGCCAUGUGUCACUUUGGACAAGAUGUGCUGGCACUCACUCUUCUUUCUGUUUGUCUUCUCUGCACUUUCCUUCCUUCUGGAAAACUUAGAUAGACACAUUAUCUGGUGUCCAACAUGGGGCAUGAGAUCACAAGGCAGCUUAUGAAGCGGCUGGCUCUACAACCACCAGAAUUGCAGUCACCACUGCUGAGUCUGUCAUUCUGGCAGUCCUCAAGACGUCUCUUUCUGCUAUGACCUUCUCCUGCCAGAAGCCCUGAAUCAGCUUCUCAGAGGCUUGCUCCCCUUCCCUAUGGGUCAUGGACUUUCCUAGGGUCUGCUUUCUGGGCCACUACUGCUUCAACUUGGCCUCCUUGACACCUGUUUUGACUUUGGUUGUUGCUGCCUCUGUACACCCCAGCCCCCAAUGUUGCAGCCACUGUUGCUGUGGACAAAAUGAAAAGUCAGCAGAUCUG